rnacentral:rRNA from 1 species
AUUGAACGCUGGCGGCAUGCUUUACACAUGCAAGUCGAACGGUAACAGGCCGCAAGGUGCUGACGAGUGGCGAACGGGUGAGUAAUGCAUCGGAACGUGCCCAGUCGUGGGGGAUAACGCAGCGAGAGCUGCGCUAAUACCGCAUACGAUCUAUGGAUGAAAGCGGGGGACCGUAAGGCCUCGCGCGAUUGGAGCGGCCGAUGUCAGAUUAGGUAGUUGGUGGGGUAAAGGCUCACCAAGCCAACGAUCUGUAGCUGGUCUGAGAGGACGACCAGCCACACUGGGACUGAGACACGGCCCAGACUCCUACGGGAGGCAGCAGUGGGGAAUUUUGGACAAUGGGCGCAAGCCUGAUCCAGCAAUGCCGCGUGCAGGAAGAAGGCCUUCGGGUUGUAAACUGCUUUUGUACGGAACGAAAUCGCGCGGGUAAACAAUCCGCGUGGAUGACGGUACCGCAAGAAGAAGCACCGGCUAACUACGUGCCAGCCGCCGCAGUAAAAC